rnacentral:rRNA from 1 species
GAUGAACGCUAGCGGCAGGCUUAAUACAUGCAAGUCGAGGGGCAGCAGGGAUAGCAAUAUUCGCUGGCGACCGGCGCACGGGUGCGUAACACGUAUACAAUCUGCCUUUUACAGGGGGAUAGCCUUUCGAAAGAGAGAUUAAUACCCCAUAAUAGUUGACCGGGCAUCUGGUUGAUUUGAAAGCUCCGGCGGUAAGAGAUGAGUAUGCGCCUGAUUAGCUAGUUGGUGAGGUAACGGCUCACCAAGGCGACGAUCAGUAGGGGAUCUGAGAGGACUAACCCCCACACUGGUACUGAGACACGGACCAGGACUCCUACGGGAGGCAGCUAGUAAGGAAUAGUGGUCAAUGGAGGCAACUCUGAACCAGCCAUGCCGCGUGCAGGAUGACGGCCCUAUGGGUUGUAAACUGCUUUUGUACCAGAGAAAACCUACUCACGUGUGAGUAGCUGAUAGUAAUGGUAAGAACUAAAGCAUCGGCUAAACUU